GAUGAACGCUUGCGGUAUGCCUUACACAUGCAAGUCGAACGAAAAUUAGCUUCGGUUAAUUUUAGUGGCGGACGGGUGAGUAACACGUGAGAAUUUGCCUUUAGGAGGGGGAUAACGAGUGGAAACAUUCGCUAAAACCCCAUAUGCCCACGGGUGAAAAAGAGGAAACUCUGCCUGAAGAGAAGCUCGCGGCUGAUUAGCUAGUUGGUAGGGUAAUGGCCUACCAAGGCGACGAUCAGUAGCUGGUCUGAGAGGACGAUCAGCCACACUGGAACUGAGACACGGUCCAGACUCCUACGGGAGGCAGCAGUGAGGAAUGUUCUGCAAUGGGCGAAAGCCUGACAGAGCAAUACCGCGUGAGGGAUGAAGACUUACUGAGUUGUAAACCUCGGUGCCUUAAGGAAGAAGAUCUGACGGUACUUAAGGUGGAAAGCAUCGGCUAACUCCGUGCCAGCCGCCGCCGUAAGAC
rnacentral:rRNA from 1 species